rnacentral:rRNA from 1 species
GCAAGUCGAACGGAAGUCGUUAUAUUGAUUUGAAGAGAACGAGAACUGUUCAAAGGACAUGAUGAAGAUUUAUAACAAUGGCUUUAGUGGCGGACUGGUGAGUAAUACGUAAGCAACCUGCCUAUUAGAGGGGAACAACAGUUAGAAAUGACUGCUAAUACCGCAUAUGCCAUAGGAACCACAUGGUUCUAGUGGGAAAGGAGCAAUCCGCUGAUAGAUGGGCUUACGGCUGAUUAGCUAGUUGGUGUGGUAACGGCAUACCAAGGCGACGAUCAGUAGCCGGACUGAGAGGUUCAACGGCCACAUUGGGACUGAGAUACGGCCCAGACUCCUACGGGAGGCAGCAGUCGGGAAUUUUGCGCAAUGGAGGAAACUCUGACGCAGUGACGCCGCGUGCAGGAAGAAGGUUUUCGGAUUGUAAACUGCUUUAGACAGGGAAGAAAAAGGACAGUACCUGUAGAAUAAGCUCCGGCUAACUACGUGCC